AAAAUAUUGAGAGAUAUGGCCCAGAGGGCGGCUGGCUGCUCAGUCAUGCUCUAACAAACAAGCAAUUAAGAGAUACAGCCGCUAAUUAGUGAGCAGUUAUUCCUAUUGUGAAUGGUGCUCAGCGGGAGAGAAAAGCAAUAGCGUGCACCAGGAGGAGAGCGGCGUUACGGACAGGGCAGCUUCACCCCAUGACCAGCAUCCCUGCAAGUAGGAGGCAAGCUGAGGGAAUAUUUGCCAAGAAACUGUGGCCUUUGCACUCUGAGGCGUCUUUUCCAAAGAUGAUGGCAUGGAGCGGGGCUCUUAUGAAAGCACCUGAUCACCACAUCCAAGAAUGUCUCCAGGAUCCCUGAAGUUUGAUCUCUUCCUCCCCUCCCUCCCUACACGUGCAUAUGGAAGUGAGUACAGCCUAGCUGGGAGCUUUGUGGCAGCAUUUCCCUUGCUAGGGCUUACUAAAAGGCAGUAGAAAUGGAAAGAAGGGAAAAGGAGCACAACGGGGCACCUUAAAGGCAAUGGGCAAAGCCAAGGUGACUCCAAAUGCUGCAAGAGAGACCAGAGAAGAAACGACAAAUCAUACAACCUGCUGGGAACCUCCACCUCCUCCACCCUUUAUAGGCUGGCAGAGGUUGAAGUUUGACUGACUUCUCAGUUACAUCUAGUCCUCAGAAGAAAGAGAAAAAGAGCUAAUCGUGCUAGCCUGACACUAGAGCCAGGGAUUCUGAUGGCGAUGGCUAUUGCCACUUCCAGAGCGAUGUGCUAGGCACACGUGCCUCAUAGGUGACCUCGCACUGAGCCGUGAAGAUGUUGGGAGCAACCAGCUCUACCACACACCAUUGCUCAGUACCUCACGGAGGAGGAGGAAUAUAAUAUAGAGUGUCAGCCUGAGGUAAAGCCAAAUAACAGGGCCACUGGAGUCAAGAUAGGGCUUGGCUUACUUAUUGUAUAGGCAGCACUUUUUUUAAAGCUUGAAAACUUAAUUCCCUCUGUUGCAACCUCCCUCUAGGGGCUCACCAGGUGCUGCAGUAUUUUCAUGCACAUCCCCUCAUGUCUUGAGCAUUGCACACUCACCCCAUGGGUUUCCAAAGAAGUUUCUCCAUGCAGCUCCCCAGGUGGUUGCGCUCCAGUGAAGGGUGAAGCCAUUCUUGCUAAACCAACCCCUGCAUCCAAGCUUCCCCAGGAAAACCAGAUGAGGGUUUUGAGUAGCAGCAGCAGACUUUCCUAUUAGCGAAGUCAAGCAGGAAAAUUAGUGGAAAAUAGCGUUAUUUUUUUAGGGACCAAAUCAUUCAUAGAUUACAGAGUCAAAAGGAAACACUGCUGGUCUGACCUCCUGUUCUAAUCAGAGCGCAUUGUGAGGAACAACCUCCAGUCCUGAUUUCUGAGAAGCCAAUAAUAAACCAUUCAUUUGUAUUUCACACAGAGCAGUGGCAUAUUUCAUCAGGAUGCACAAACUGGUAUUCUGAAGGAACAAUACACAUUUGGGAUCAGAUUUACAGCUGUUCAGUAGCCCUCAGAUUUGCAGGUAAAACACAAUAUCUGACUUGCUGGAAGGUUUCAUGGCACUGGCACUGAGGAAUAAAUGCCUUUGAUUUUCCCCGUCUGAUUUUUCCUGGUCUCUGGCAUCAGGACUGAGGGAGACAGGAACCACCUCUCCACCCAGCUUCAGGAGGGACUGGGGGAAGCAGCAAGAUCCAGGAGAGAGGGAGAAGCCAGUGGAAAGCCAGGGCAGGACUGACUCAAGAAUUAAUGGGGGUGGGCAGAGAAAGGAGGAGGUGGGAAACAGCCUGGGCGAGGGAUGAAAGAGGGACACUGGGGCAGCUUGAAGCAUGGGAAGAGAAGCAACAACUGCUGGAAAGAUGGUGGGGGCAAGUGGACAGCUGAAACUUGGGGAAAGCCAGGAUGUAAGAUGGCAUUGCUGCAGCAUCACUGGAGCAGGGACUGAUGGCCCAGGGCUGGGCUGAAAUGUGGUAUUCAGGGCCACGGGCAGGGCAGGGGGAGGCUGGGGGGGGGAGGCUGGGCAGGGUCCCCAGGAUCUGGCAGCUCUGCCCCUUCUUUCUGCCCAUUCAGCCCUGAUUUUUCUCCAUCCCACCUUUUGACACCCCCUCACACCCUACCAGAAUUCCCUUACAGUCUUGCCCUUGCAGGGAGCCAGAGGGGUUGGAGGGUCUGAUAGGAAGGUGAAGGAAGAAGAGGGUGAAAUACAUCUUCCUCUGCCCGAGGAGCCAGUCCAGCUGCCCUGGGCAUACCUGGUCUUGGGGAUAACAUGGAGUUUGACCACCUCAGCUAACAGGGGGUGAGUUCAUCCCUGCUCCAAACAUCCUGUGUGAGGUGAUUCACAUUAAAUAUUCUUUAUUCACCAUGUCUGGAAAAGUACAUCUGAGCCCCUGAAAACAGCGGACAUUUUGAUGGAAGAUGCCUGAGAAAAAAUAUUUUACAGGAACCAAGAGUCGCCUGUCUCUCUGGAAAAUGAACAUUGGCUGAUCAAGAAAUUACCAAUAGAAAUUUCUCAUAUUAGCACUUUUUUUUUUCCCUUGCUUGUCUUGGUGGAGAAUCACAUUUCAUUUUCAAACCACAGUUCUACAUUUAUCAUCCCUGAUUUAGUAAAUUGCCACUUGCAGAAGCAGUGUCUAACCUACCUUUAUUUAAGACUUUGCAGGAUAAUGUGUUUGUGUUGGACUCAGAGAGGGUCACAAAAAAAGUGGCAGAUGCUGCAAACAUUGAAAUGGAGGUAAUGUAAAUGAUUUUAGAUUCAAAAUAUUCCUCCUCAAGUAACUUAACAGUUUCACAAAAUAUUGUAUUGGCAGUGAGACUUAAAUCUAAAAUCUUGAAGCAAGAGGAAUUUUGUUGUCUUUCUCCUUCUUUAUUUUUUUCUUAACAGGGAUCAAAAUCAACCUUUCAAUAAGCCUCUCUUUGUAGUCAAAAUAGAAGGAAGUGAAGAUACCUCUAUAAUCAGAGCUGGCUCAAGUCUUAUCAGCAGGGUAGGCAAAAUUUAAUUUUGCAGCCCAAGGGUCUUCUCUUCACCCUUGGGCAGGCAAAAUUCAGCUGUGUGGCAGCAGCAGAGUGGGUCCUUCCUGGGAUGUGUUUCUCCUUUUCUUCCCCCUUGGUACCACACAGCUUGUGGGGAAAGGCUGGACAGUCAGCUUGUGCCUGCUGCAGAUAUGGCCAUUCCCACCUCUUCCAGCCCAGGCAAACCGGGCUGCUGGUUGCCCCUGGCAGGCUCCAACCUUCAGCAGCCAACAGCUUUGCCCGUCCCUGAAACCAGCCCUGUCUGUAGUAAGGUAGAGAAACUUGCAUCUGCAAAGGUGAGCCUGGAAUCAUUAUCUUACAGCUGCAAAUGUAGCCUCCCACUUAAAUGAAAGGAUGCAGAUAAUUGGGUUAUCUUGUAUAAAACAAAUUCUUCUGCCCUAUAAACUGUAGCCAGUACACAUGAUGCAAUCUCACUGUGCCAGGCUGGAAAGGGGGGUGUUGGGAACGGGGCUGGCUUUCUCACCCCAAGCAGGAGAGGACUUACUCCUGUGCCCUUAGCACGCACAGCUAAACUUCAGGAGAUCAUGACAUUCACACAUAUGACCCCUCCCCAUUUGAGGUCCAUGGGAAUAUGAUCAAGCUGAUGAUUUCCGGUGGAAUCAAUAAGAAAGGUAGAGGGCAUCAACAAAAUCAUUAAUAAUUUCUCUCAGUUAUAAUCUAGUUUCUUCAAAUACAGCUGUUGCUGGAGCCUCCAGCCAGAAUUAACGAUACGGAAAAUCUGAAGGACAAUAAACAGUAUAUGUGUGAGCUAGAGGGAUGUGAACAAACAGUAAACAAAAAGGAAAAUGUCAAAGGGGUUAAAUCUUUAAUAAACUACCGGUCCAAUAUCAUUUGAUAAGCUCUCUUUCAGAUGUUUCACAAAUAUUCUCCCUUGCUUUCAGAGUCAGCCUGGUCUUUUUCAAGCCAAACACAUUUCACAAGAAAAAAAUGUAGAGGAACCAAAAUGGGCCUUUGAAAGAGAAAUGGAUUGUAACCG